UUUUUUGCAGGUUGAGGCAUGACGCCGUGUGCAGCACAGGCAUACCACGCAGUGCUUCUCUAUCCCCCAGCUCUCUCACACUCUGACGGGGGAUACAGAUUGCAACAUACCUCCAAGUAUGCAAAGUCCCGCACAGAGUGCCUCAGCAACCUGAGCUAACCCCACACAAACAUGCACACACUGUACUUUCCCUGCAGCAUGCGCCGUACAGCACACGCUAAAGGAGACGACGACCAAACCGAUUCCCAAAGCCGCUGCACGAGUCCAAGACAAACAGAAGAAACAAGGAGCUGGAGCCAGAAAAGAUGACACAAAGCAAACUUACAGCGCUGACCUGAUGACGCAGUGGGACUGUAAGAUAUGCAUGGCAGUACCACCAAGGCCAACCCCGAGAACGCUGCCAGAUCCUCCACUCGCGACUCCUGACAGUGACUGUGCAGCGGCUCUAACAGGAAAUGGAGAAGGAUGAAGCCCAAGGGUCCACCACAGUCGCCGUGCUCAUGGUUGUCCAUGAGGCACUGGUCAUGUUCAGACCCAUAGCCCUCCAAGGGAAUAGUGCCAUGGACGAUACUGACAGCUUUCCUCAGGCAGUUUGCUGGUCUUUGGCCUUGAAUAUUCCUUGCAUUUAGACGACCCUAAAAGGACGGAAAUAUGCUGAACUUCAUGAAAGCAGGCAUGCUAGCUAGCGAAGGGGACAAGACCUUCUCUUUGAAGCUGCUAACCCUAAAGACCACUCUGCUGGGUUUGACCAGUAAGGGGUGACUGGUAACCGAUGCAAACAACACUCAAUCAAAGGACUGUUCAGUGCUUUUCAUGUUGAGCCUCUUUUGUGUUGAUUGCUCAUUGUUUAUUGACUUAAAUUCACAAAUUUGUGUGGUUUUGAAGGAAUAAUGUUUGAAAUAUAUCACAACUGCAUGAGGUCCAGUUUUUUUUAGGAACUUAUUGCUUGAAAUGUCUUUGUCCAGCACUACCUAUAAGUCAUAAAGUGAAAACUAACAAUUUAUGCUCUAAAUGAGAAUUUGAGAUCUUUUCUGAGAGUAUGACUUAGUUUUCAUUUGAAAAUAAAAGCUCCAGCUGUUGUAAACAG